rnacentral:rRNA from 1 species
UGGGGAAUUUUGGACAAUGGGCGAAAGCCUGAUCCAGCAAUGCCGCGUGCAGGAAGAAGGCCUUCGGGUUGUAAACUGCUUUUGUACGGAACGAAACGGUCUUUUUUAAUACAAGGGGCUAAUGACGGUACCGUAAGAAUAAGCACCGGCUAACUACGUGCCAGCAGCCGCGGUAAUACGUAGGGUGCAAGCGUUAAUCGGAAUUACUGGGCGUAAAGCGUGCGCAGGCGGUGAUGUAAGACAGAGGUGGAAUCCCCGGGCUCAACCUGGGAACUGCCUUUGUGACUGCAAGGCUGGAGUGCGGCAGAGGGGGAUGGAAUUCCGCGUGUAGCAGUGAAAUGCGUAGAUAUGCGGAGGAACACCGAUGGCGAAGGCAAUCCCCUGGGCCUGCACUGACGCUCAUGCACGAAAGCGUGGGGAGCAAAC